UGUUUCUGCAGUGUGGAAGCAGCCAAGGUGCACUAUACCCAAAGCCAGCCAAGUUAUUUUGGUACCUGAUGUAGAAAAUCCCAUAAGUAUCUUUAUCAGUCCUUAAAUUUAACCCCCCCCCCCCAAAAAAAACCCUAGUAAUGACAAAACAUCUAUGACCCCAACACCUCAGCUCCUGGAGGCAGUCACCUCAUUUUGUCUAAUGCCAGGGUGAACCUUAGCUGAUAGUUUCUAAAGGUCAGUCACAGGCCUCCAUAUUCUCAAGACAAAUAAUGUAUGCAUGUCUUGAGCAAAUGCACCCUAAACACAGGAGAGGUACAAUGUUUGCUUGUAAAUGUUGCACAACAUUUACAGGUUUACCAGAAUGUAGUCAACCAAGGAAACCUGUUCCCUUAACAUUUUAUUGAUUCUGGAAAGGUGCCUAGUUCCUCUGCAAAAGGUUGUGAAGAAUGAAAAGCUGCUUUGGGGAUUUAUAUGCAUCUCAUGGGAGAUCAAGUCUUCAGUAUUCAACACUGUGCUCUCAAGAGACUGCAUUCUUGACUUCUGCCAUCUGCCCCUUUUUGGAAAAGAAACCACAUGCCUUAUUUCAUGUACAGUCACCUCCUUUCACUUUUAACAGCAUUGCAACAUGUGAACUAUAUGUCUGCCAUAACAAACCUGAUCUAAUCUUUGCACUGAUCAUGGAUGAACAAGAUAGGGGAAAUGCAGAAUUUUAAUAAGAGUUCUUUUCACAAGCAUCAGCAGUUUUCUGGUCUCAGUAUGUACACUUAGGUAAGGUUAAUCAAACCAGAGCUGCUGGAGGCAUAUCCACCUUACUUUAAGACAGAAACAAAGAUGCUUUGAUUCCAUCAUAUGAACCCAGUUUUGGAGCCUUAAUUAAGACUCUAAAAUCUCAAGACGCAAGUCCCAGGGCUUCUCACCUCCCAACCCCUAGACUUUAUGGCAAGGAGAGGCAUCUCAGGGCAAAAGCAAAGAUCACUGGAGAGCACAUUUUGCAUGUAGGAGCCUGGGAUCCCAAAUCCAUGUUGUAGUAUAUUCAGUUUUCAAAAAGAUCAGGUAUCUUUCAAGUGGAUUUAAAUAUCUUUUGUAAAUUAUAAAGUACAUAUGGUAUUUGAAAGCACACAAUAACAACAACAAUGGGAGUCAAUGUGGUUUUCUACAUCUGAGAACCCCCCCCCUUUUUCCUCUUCUUCCACUAUCUAGCUGAAAUAAUAAUAAUAAUAAUAAUAAUAAUAAUAAUAAUAAUAAUAAUUCUGACCAUGAUAUCCAUGAUUACAGUCACCAUAAGUCAGAAAUUAGUUGAAGGUACACAACAAAAACAAAUACAGAUUCUGCCCCACCCAUCUGCCCAGCAAAACUUCAAGCACUGGUGAAACCAAACUGUGUCUUCGUCCUGCUAUUGAUGAUAGGUUUUUUUUCUCUUGUACCUUAUCCGAUGCAGUUAUUGUGUGAAAGAGUACUGCUAAAGCAUAUAAUUUACCAGUGUUUUGCUCAGUAUGCAAAACCAGUUAUAAAUGCAGAUCACAUUUAAUAAUACCAUUCUCACCAGGCAAAUUGGAACAUUAGAUUGCCCGAUAGUUGCAUAUUUCUUGGUUGACUAAAACUGUCACAUGGUUGUUUCUUAUCAAAAGCAUGUUAUCAGUACUGAAUUUACUUGUCAGAUUUAUUUUGAUAACUAUUUUAUCAUACUUGCUCAGUUCACAUAGGCCACUCCAAACAGUUUUUAACUGAAUAUUGAAAUCGUUACCAGCAACACAACUUCACACAUCAUUUUUUUUAACCUGGAGGUCAUUUGGAAAGAGGCGUGUAUUCUAUGCAUACUCCAUAUAGGCAAUAAAGACACACACAAUUUUUUGCUGUGUGUACCUGCUGUUUGCAUGUAUAUGUUUUUCAAAUGAUACUGUAUGUGCUUUUUUUUUAACACAACCCAUUUUAAUGUAGGAAACCCAUUAAUUUCAAAGCAUAUUGAGUAGGGAUGUAAAUAAUAUUUGGCAAUUUAAUAUCCUUAGUAGGAGGUCUUGACCAGGAUGUCACCCCAUUAUGAGAGUUUUUGCACAAGUUUUAAUGAUUUUUUACAUUUCAGGACUUAUAUAUGCACAAAUGUGAAUAAUAUAUUUUGCACAAACAAAAUAUGAAAAAGACCCUGAAAAAGACACAAAAACUCUUAUCUUGCAUAGUUACAACAAAAAUUGUUAAAUGUUUCAUUUUCAUCUAUGAGAACAAGAUGACAAGAUGACAACAACAACAGCAAAGUAUCCCAUUUUGACAAGUAAGGGACUGGCCUGUUUGCCCAAUGUAGAGUGCUGAAGGGCAUUGCUGACACCAUAUAGCACAGAUCACACUGGAGAAUGAGCAUGUGAAGCCCCCCUAAUAUUGUGGGUGAUACCAUUGGACUUGUGAUGACAUUUCCUGUGUCGGCAGAGUUGGCAUCUUGGUUUGUGGCAAGACUUAGUACCUGUGUUGCCAUCUGUGUCGUCUGUUGUCCUGUAGCAAAAGCCUGCCGUUGCACUUUCUUCCUUUACCAACUGAUAAUUCCCCUGGAAUAAUUCCUGCAAUUACUGAAAACAGAAAGAGGUAAAUGAGAACUGAAGUGAGCAGCACUGUACACGUGAACAAGGUUCUUCUGUUCUGUUCGAUUGCUGCCUAUUGCCCAGGAUAUAAAAAUAUGAUGGGAGAGGAAGUUUUUAAAAACAUGACUAGAACCAGCAAUUAAGCAAGCACACUCCAGCAUGGUAUUAUAUAUGCCUUGUAAGAGGAGGAUCAUCUGUGACACAGGAAGGCAACUUCACAGGUCCAAGAGGGGAACUUGGACCACACUGACCCAAGUAUGGGCUGCACUGCUGCCACAUUGCUGAAGUUUGGUGGCUGCCAUUGUGAAACAUUGGUGGCAGACAUAACAGAUCUCUAUGGGGAUGCCAGAAUAUCCUUUUGUGUCAUCCAGCUCUUUGAGAGCACAACAAAGAGUGGUCAGAAAGUACCAUGGAAAAGAGGAGCAGGUUGGAAAAGUCAGGAAGCUUAUAUUUGCUGGCAUAAUUUGGAAGUGAUGUCAGUGCUGAUGGGAUGAAAAAACAGUUUUGUGAUUCUUUGGCAACAUGCUGCCCAUUCCCGAUGUAUGAGAAGAACUUCCACAAGACUGUACUUCCAGACUCAGAUACAGAAGUGGAAUCAAAGUACUGGAGGAAGUUACACAGUCAGACAUAUUGCUGUUUAAGGGUCUUGUAAGGCAUCCCUACAAAUGUUUUCCAUGACAGGGCACAGAUAUACUAUUUGUUCCCUAUGAAUUUGUUUGUUAUGAUCUGUGAAUUGUGAUCUUCCAGAACCUAAAUAUUAGUUCAUAGCUGAGAGACUAAAAUACAUGAUUCAUAUAUCUGCCUAUGUAUGGAAUUGCUGGAAUCAUGCCCUGGUCAGCUCCUGUUUAGACAUCAUAGCGUGCUAGUUGUUCCUCGGAGUCACAUAGUUCCUUCAUUGCAAAGCCAUCUACUGAGAGAGGCAAUAAACAAGGGUACAUUUGUAGGAGCCACCCAGUCCGGAAAAAAAAUAUAGAAGAAGAAAACAUUGUGAAAACAAAAUGAUCUGCACCCAUAUUUCUCAUCGUGCACCAUCUGUUCCAUUAUCUUGGUUCCUUUUCACAUGGAUCAGAAAUACAGAUAUAAUGUUUGCUUCAGGUAAACACCAUCAGUCUGUUCAUUGGAUUCAGUGCAAAUAUUCCCCAGUGUGUUUACUCAGAAACAUUUGUACUACAUAAGCAAGAACUGACUGCAAAAGACAGGAAAAUCCAGUUUAAAUCACUAGCAACAAAUUGUCCAGCUGUUUUAAAUCCUUGAUGGGUUAGAAACCAAUAGCUUCCUGUCUAGGACCUUGAGGAUUAUAGAAAAGAUUUCUCUCCCUUUCACUAUCUUCCAGGUAGUUUUGGCCAACGACAACAUUGAAUCAAACAAAAAUAAUGAAAUGGAUGUUUGGUGAUGGUGCUAGCCUAGCAGAGAAACAGCCAAAUACUCGUGUUGUUGUUGUUGUUGUUGUUUUGUACCUUCCCAUUGACUCUGAGUUAUGGUGAUAACUGUCACCUUGGCCUCAGAGGGAGCGAUCAGGCAGACCCAGCAACAUCAGGGACUGCCUGAAGGACGAGACUUCUCCCUCCUUUA